AUCUCUGUUAAAAAUGAAGUACAGGAAAAUGAGAAGAACUUCACUGGCCUGAUUUGGUGUAUUAAGGAAACUCGCAGGAAUUGACAUAAAGGAUGAGAGAACAAAAGAAAAGAAAAAUGAAGAAGGCCAAAGGAGUCAUGGAACAGCUGGAGAAGGAGAUCAAAGAGCUGAAGAGAUCAUGAAGCUCCAGUUUUCCCACUAGAGUCUCCCGAACCUCAGAGCAGAGCCACGUUUUUACAAUAGAUCAAGAGAUCACAAUGAAAGAAAAAUCAGCAGUAAGUGAAUCUCAAAAAAAUUGUAGCUGUACAACUUGUGACAAAAAAGAAAAAAAAAUCAAGCUAGAAGUCUCUUGUCUCAUUGGCUGAGUGCUGAAGGCUUUGCAUGGUUUAUCUGGCAGGACCCCGGUGGCUAAGUGUAAUGCCAAUGCCAGCAGGAGGCUCCACUGAACCAGAGGUAAAGAAAACAUAGAUGUGGCUUAUAAAAGACCACUAGAUGAAUGUCAGCCAGCACCUCUGUCUCUCUAUCCUGCAUGAAAUUGAAGAGAACCCAACCUUCUCUAGUUGACUGACUGAUGAAGACUUUUCCUAUAAUGUACCACAAGGGGUUUAUUAAGAUCUGACAAUCCUGGCCUGUUGGCUGUGCCUUGAGAACUGUUGUGUAUUUUUGCCAGUGGAAAUGGCAAGUUUGAAGACUUUUGAAUAACAAGGACUGGUAAAUAAACAGAGUCGUUUAGAGGUGGACCACCAUGAAAAUCACUCUGAGAGUUGACCUGUCAUAGUCAUGGAGCCAGUGACACCACAGCAUUAAAGCAAAACCAAAGAUGUGAGUCAGAUGUCAAAAUAGAGCGGAGGUCCUAAUACUGCAUUCCCCUCACAACGGACCCCAACACAGUCAAUUGUUACCUGCGCCUAUGUGAAAAGAACAAGAAGGUGACAUGGGAAGUGACAGAAACUGAAUAUCCUGAUCACCCUGACAGAUCUGACUACCUCAGCCAGGUUCUGUGCAGGGAGGCUCUGACUGGGAAUCGCUGCUUCUGGGAGGUGGAGUGCACUGGUGAUUAUGUGUCAGUCGGGGUCUCAUAUCAAGGAUUGAGCAGGGAAGGAGUGGGGAAUGAGUGUGGCCUUGGGAACAAUGACAAGUCCUGUUGUUUGUCCUGGGUGAAAUCCCAGUACUCUGUGUACCACAAUAACAAAGAGACUGUAAUCAGCGCCCCCUGCAGCCCCAGAAUAAGUGUAUAUCUGGACUGGGCUGCUGGCUCUCUGUCAUUUUAUAGCAUCUCACACACAAUGACCCUCCUGCAAAGGUUCAACACCUCCUUCACUGAGCCGCUCUAUCCAGGGUUAGGUGGCAACCAUCGCAACAUUGUCAGGAUCCUUGAUAUUUGUUACUUUCUUGUGUAUUUGGUGGUUUUCUUCCCCAAGGAUUCUUGUGGUUACAUCUCAUUUUUCACCUGUUGGCUUAGUUUUGUUUAUAAAUAAUUAUUUGUAUUGUUUCCCCCAUAAUUUUGUCUAUUUAUUGAUGACGAUAUUUUGAGUUCCUGUUGUUAGGACAGUGGCCAUGUUGCUAGGGGCAUGUCCUCUGAGGUCAGAACUGUCAAUGGCAACAUGAAGGGAUCAAAGUGCACC